rnacentral:rRNA from 1 species
UGGGGAAUAUUGGACAAUGGGGGGAACCCUGAUCCAGCCAUGCCGCGUGUAUGAAGAAGGCCUUAUGGUUGUAAAGCACUUUAAGCGAGGAGGAGGGUACUGGUAUUAAUACUACCAGCUACUGGACGUUACUCGCAGAAUAAGCACCGGCUAACUCUGUGCCAGCAGCCGCGGUAAUACAGAGGGUGCGAGCGUUAAUCGGAAUUACUGGGCGUAAAGCGCGCGUAGGUGGUUCGUUAAGUUGAAUGUGAAAGCCCCGGGCUCAACCUGGGAACUGCAUCCAAAACUGGCGAGCUAGAGUAGGGCAGAGGGUGGUGGAAUUUCCUGUGUAGCGGUGAAAUGCGUAGAUAUAGGAAGGAACACCAGUGGCGAAGGCGACCACCUGGGCUCAUACUGACACUGAGGUGCGAAAGCGUGGGGAGCAAACAGG